CGCCCGCCGCGCCCCGCGCCCGUCCCGCCGCCCCCGCCCGCCUACGGGAGGCAGCAGUGGGGAAUUUUCCGCAAUGGGCGAAAGCCUGACGGAGCAAUACCGCGUGAGGGAUGACGGCCUAUGGGUUGUAAACCUCUUUUUUCAGGGAGGAACAAAAUGACGUGUACCUGAAGAAUAAGCAUCGGCUAACUCCGUGCCAGCAGCCGCGGUAAGACGGAGGAUGCAAGUGUUAUCCGGAAUCACUGGGCGUAAAGCGUCUGUAGGUGGUCAAAUAAGUCAACUGUUAAAUCUUGAGGCCCAACCUCAAAAUCGCAGUCGAAACUAUUAGACUAGAGUAUAGUAGGGGUAAAGGGAAUUUCCAGUGGAGCGGUGAAAUGCGUAGAGAUUGGAAAGAACACCGAUGGCGAAGGCACUUUACUGGGCUAUUACUAACACUCAGAGACGAAAGCUAGGGUAGCAAAUGGGAUUAGAUACCCCAGUAGUCCUAGCUGUAAACAAUGGAUACUAGAUGUUGGACAGAUCGACCUGUGCAGUAUCA
rnacentral:rRNA from 1 species